UACCUACGGGGGGCAGCAGUGGGGAAUAUUGCACAAUGGGGGAAACCCUGAUGCAGCGACGCCGCGUGAGUGAAGAAGUAAUUCGUUAUGUAAAGCUCUAUCAGCAGGGAAGAAAAUGACGGUACCUGAGUAAGAAGCCCCGGCUAACUACGUGCCAGCAGCCGCGGUAAUACGUAGGGGGCAAGCGUUAUCCGGAUUUACUGGGUGUAAAGGGAGCGUAGACGGCUGUGCAAGUCUGAAGUGAAAGCCCGUGGCUCAACCGCGGAACUGCUUUGGAAACUGGAUAGCUUGAGUACUGGAGAGAC
rnacentral:rRNA from 1 species